CCCUGGCAUUAUCCUCUCCUCUCUUGCGAACUCGCCUCUCCCUAGGGCUUCUCUCCUCUCCCCGCCUCCAGUCGUCGCCGCCGCCCCCUAUAGCUUCAGCCUCCUCACCUUCACUCAAUGGCUGCGGAUCCACUCCAGCAGCUAAGGCAGCGGUCACAUGCGCCCUCCUUCCCUCACUCCUUGCGUUGCAAACCCUAGCCAUGUUGACAAUGGUGGUGGCUACAUCAACGACGGCGGUACGUUAUGGGAUCCCUACUCUCGCUCAUUUGAGGAGAUGAACACAAGGAGCGCGACAGUCGCGUCCCCUCGGCCGACCUAGGUAGAUGGCGACCCACGGCACCAUGGUGAAUCCAUUCCCCCAACUGUUAUCCCAGCUCCUUUUUCUAUCACAACGUGCCCCAACAACGACAAAUCUUGGAGAUAGAGAUCAUGUCGUUCGCAAAGGCAAUCGAGGACAAGGAGAUCACCGCGCUCGAGUGUCUUGGCUCGGACGACAUUGAGGCGGUCCGCGACUGCUGAAUCUGCACAUGCGUUGCGCGACAUAGCGCCAGCCCAAGUGGUGUGCCCUUUGCACGACGAGUACGCUGAGGUCCUCAAGAAAGAGUUCUUCUCCGUCGGAAAGGCCAGAGAGCUCCUGGUGUGCCACUUCUACUGUGGCAACUCGAUGUGCAAGGUACACCAAUAACGUGGCUCAGUUGACAGAUAAGGUCCUUUGUUGACAUCAUUUCCAUCCCAAACCGAAGUGCUACUCAACUCGGUGCCGAGGUUAAUCUCGUGUCGAGGACAGCUCCUGAAUUGAUUAAAUAGUGGACACAUGAAGAAUGGAUGGAGCAGCAGUGCUGAUUGGAGCUACAUGUAACCUGAUGUGGUGUUGUCAUCUCCUCGACAUAGCGACUAAUUGUGCUUUGUUUCCUUUCCAAUAGCAUGGUUGGAGUUUAGCAUGUGUGUGUCGAGGCUAGCUCCUCGAGUAGUACAUGCCCCGCUAAAUGUGAUACUUGUGAAGGUUAGUGAACACUUGUGAUACUUUGUGACUGUGUGGUAUACUUUGUGAUCUCAUAUGCAACACUUUGUGUUAUGCUAUGAUAUAUAUGUAGAUGAUUUGGCGAUGUUAUAAUCUUGUGGUUUGUGUAA